rnacentral:rRNA from 1 species
UACAGAGGUGGCAAGCGUUGUUCGGAAUUACUGGGCGUAAAGGGCUCGUAGGCGGCCAACUAAGUCGGACGUGAAAUCCCCAGGCUCAACCUGGGAACUGCGUCCGAUACUGGAUGGCUUGAAUCCGGGAGAGGGAUGCAGAAUUCCAGGUGUAGCGGUGAAAUGCGUAGAUAUCUGGAGGAAUACCGGUGGCGAAGGCGGCGUUCUGGACUGCAACUGACACUGAUAAACGAAAGCCAGGGUAGCAAACGGG